rnacentral:misc_RNA from 1 species
CGAACGCGCCGGGGUUCGCCGAGGGCGAUCUCGUGCAGGGGCUCGUCGGCUGGCAGGACUACGCGCACGUGCGCGCCGACGAAAUCGCGCAGUACACGAAGCUGCCCGCCGCGCUCGGCCUGCCGCUGCCGCGCCUGCUCGGCGCAUGCGGGAUGAGCGGGCUCACCGCGUACUACGGGCUCACCGAGAUCGCGCCGGUGCAGCCGGGCGAGACGCUCGUCGUGUCGGCGGCCGCGGGCUCGGUGGGCUCCGUCGCCGGGCAGAUCGGCAAGAUUCACGGCGCGCGCGUUGUCGGCAUCGCGGGCGGCGCGGACAAGUGCCGCUACCUGACC